GAUGAACGCUGGCGGCGUGCCUAAUACAUGCAAGUCGAGCGAACAGAUGAGGAGCUUGCUCCUCUGACGUUAGCGGCGGACGGGUGAGUAACACGUGGAUAACCUACCUAUAAGACUGGGAUAACUUCGGGAAACCGGAGCUAAUGCCGGAUAAUAUAUUGAACCGCAUGGUUCAAUAGUGAAAGACGGUUUUGCUGUCACUUAUAGAUGGAUCCGCGCCGCAUUAGCUAGUUGGUAAGGUAACGGCUUACCAAGGCGACGAUGCGUAGCCGACCUGAGAGGGUGAUCGGCCACACUGGAACUGAGACACGGUCCAGACUCCUACGGGAGGCAGCAGUAGGGAAUCUUCCGCAAUGGGCGAAAGCCUGACGGAGCAACGCCGCGUGAGUGAUGAAGGUCUUCGGAUCGUAAAACUCUGUUAUUAGGGAAGAACAAAUGUGUAAGUAAUUAUGCACGUCUUGACGGUACCUAAUCAGAAAGCCACGGCUAACUACGUG
rnacentral:rRNA from 1 species